rnacentral:lncRNA from 1 species
AUGUCAUCUAAAACACACUCAUAUUAUCUGGUAGCUAAACACUUAUAUUUCACAGAUGCUAUAAUGUAGCGGGUAAAAGCUCUGGAUCUAAACCUCAUUUCAGAUCCCCAGUCUGAACUUCCCAACUGUGUGACCCUGAGCAAGUGACUCAGCCUCUCUGUGCCUCAGUACUCAUCUGUCAAAUGAGGAGGAUGAUGAUAACAAUAGUACCUCCCUCAUAGGACUGUGGUGACACUUAAAUGAGUUAAUAUAGAUAAAGUGCUUGGCUGGGCAUGGUGACUCAUGCCUGCAAUCCCAGCACUUUGGGAGACCCAGGCCGGAGGAUUGUUUGAGGCCAGGAGUUCAAGACCAGCCUCGGAAACACAGCAAAACCCUGUCUCAAAAAAACAAAAACAAAAACAAAAACAAAAACAAACCCAAGUAAGACAACUUUGGGCAAGGGAUAAGAUAGAAAAAUAUGGCUAUCAUUUCUAAAGAUAUGCCACUUGACAUUUAUUAUUAUUACAUUAUCCAUUAUAUUUCCCAGUAUUUUUCACCAGAGAAAUUUCCAUGUGAUUAACUUAUUUUUAAAUUUACUAUGAAGUUCCUGAAAGUGUAAACUGCUUCUUUACUUUUUAAUAACAGGAAUCAGCUUGUGUCUCUUUUUUCUUUGGCUGCCAGGAAACUCAGAGCCAAAUCAGAAACUCGCCUAUGGGCACUUUCUUGGCCUUUAGGUUCAGCUUUUUCCUUGUCCACAUUUUCCACUCUGUUUUCCGUGAUUCUGAUUUUCCAUUUGGUAUUGCAUGUCGUUUUACUGAAUGUAUUUUAUUUAUAACCUAUCAUGAAUCCUUUGUGGAACAGAGUUAGAAACAACAUUUAUCAGGCAGUUAAGACAGACCUGAGCCCACUCACAGGUUUCCUGGCUCAUGUGACCUUGGACAUGUUAUUUUCACCCUCAGGUCUCAGUUUCUUCAUCCGUAAAAGGGCCAUUGUAAAUACCGAGUAAGCUAGAACAUGAACUGCCUGGCAUCCAGCAGCCCAGGCCUGCGUGAACCACACCAAAGGGACAUCCUGCACAGGCCACCUCUUUCUGCUUGCUUCUCCUUGUCUUCCUCACCACCCCUCCCAUUUGCUUCUGCCCUCAUCCAGAUUUUCCAGUCUUGGCCUUUGUUCAGCCAACAUUUGUUGUUACUCUAGCCCUGCUGUAAACUCAGUGAAAAUAACAGAGCGACCAACCUGGGUAACACAGUGAGACUUUGUCUCUACAAAAAAUUAAAAAAAAAAUUAGCUAGGUGUGGUGGCAUCCACCUGUGGCCCCACUACGUAGGAGGCUGAGGUGGAAGGAUUGCUUGAGCCUAGAAGGUUGAGGCUACAGUGAGCUGAGAUCACGCCACUGCACUCUAGCUUNNNNNNNNNNNNNNNNNNNNNNNNNNNNNNNNNNNNNNNNNNNUAAAAUAAAAUAAAAUAAAGUAAAACAAAACAAAACAGUCAUUGACCUUGACAUUGCCCAGUUCUCAAGGCUCUUUUAUACUCUUGUGUCUUACAAUCACCAUGUGGGAUAAGUCCUGGGAUCCCCAUUUUACAGAUGCAGAGACUGAGGCUCAGAGAAAGGAAGCAGCUUGCCAGAGCUGGAGCCCAAACCCAGAUCUUCCUGGUUAUCUCAGGGCCUCACCUCCUUUUUUUGUGCCUCCUACCCGGGGCCUGGCUCUCUAGGCUAACUUCCUUCAGAGGCUACGG